rnacentral:rRNA from 1 species
CAGCCGCCGCGGGAAUACGGAAGGUCCAGGCGUUAUCCGGAUUUAUUGGGUUUAAAGGGAGUGUAGGCGGUCUGUUAAGCGUGUUGUGAAAUUUAGGUGCUCAACAUCUAACUUGCAGCGCGAACUGGCGGACUUGAGUGCACGCAACGUAUGCGGAAUUCAUGGUGUAGCGGUGAAAUGCUUAGAUAUCAUGACGAACUCCGAUUGCGAAGGUAGCGUACGGGAGUGUUACUGACGCUUAAGCUCGAAGGUGUGGGUAUCGAACAGGAUUAGAUACCCCCGUAGUCCCUGUCUCUUAUAC